ACCUGAGAUGGACGAGCAACCUUAAGACUACCCCACGCUGGGAUGCCCUUCACGAUAAUAAAAAGCCAUUACCUUGACCGCUGACACGAGGCCAAGUGUGAGGGUCAGAGUGAUAUUUAUUGAUGAAACUCUGAGCUCCCAAUCUGCUGCACUCAGUGCGCAUCAUACAGCUGUCAGCACAGACAGGGAUCAGGCAGCAUGAUGGCCCUCGACAUGGCCCAUCUAUAAUUUAUGAACUACACAGAAAACAACCAGGAGACAACAGAGAAGCCCCGGCUGCCCAGGGAUUACCCUCCAGCCCAGCUAAAGAGAUCGGAACGAGAACCACCUAAAGGCCACACUGAUAUGGGGCAGCAGAUCUGUGCUGCAGAAGAGGUCAGUGAGCGAUCCUGCAGGUCACACAUCCCCCCUGACCGACCGACGGACCGACCGACCAACCCCCAAUCCCCAACGAGACUGCGAGUAAGACGCCUCUCCGAGGGAUGUCAUGCUGCAUGUCAUCAGCCUGGUUAAAUUGCACUGCCAGUGGGUAAGCAGCAGGGGUCACAUGAGGCUCAGUGUGGACUGCAACAUGUAACGCAUGGCAGACCACAGUCUGAAGGCUGCCCAGUAAUGACUCCAAAACAUCCCGAUAAAGAUUGAGGGGCGGCUGUUUUCAUCCAACACAACUCAUCUCGGACACAAUGUAAAGCUCCACACAAAAAGGGGCUGUGAGGUUUUCGGUUGUUUGCACCACAGUAAUCAAUAUAUCAAUACUGUGUCAAUGCAAUCAAUCUAAAAUGGGGCGAUUGUUUGGGAGGGGGUCUUCAAGUGAAAAUGAUUCUCGUUUUAGGAAUGAUUAAACAAACCAGAGCACCAGCCUAAAGGAAAAUGUCUGUUUUUGGGAGCGAGUCCAAGCAUUUGCCCUUGUAAACACAAAGCCCACAUGUGACUGGGAGAGGCCUCAGUUGGGCAGACACCAGAGGGAGUUAACAAAGCUAAUUAGGAGAGGCUGACAUGUUAAAGUGAGCGGCGGCUUGGGAGUCAGCUCUAUCACAUAUGUUUCCUUUGUGGUGGGUGAAGUGGCUCCUUUGUUUGUGAAUUGAUGGCGUUUCGCUCCGCCGUCCCUUUGGGUAGAGGCACUGACCUGCGGAGGCCCCGGCAGUAAGAAGAGGCUCUUUCUCUGUCUCCCUGCUGCCUGCUGCUCCAGCUGUCCCGCUCCCUCCCAAACCUAAACCUUCCCAGCGCCGAGGACGCACAGUGAGAUGGGCAACACCUGUAAAAGAGCGAAUACCCCCUCCGCCCAGGCACCUCAAAGCAGCCUGCCCA
rnacentral:lncRNA from 1 species